CACGGUUAACCUAAAUCUAUUAUUCCAUUCUCUUGUCUUCACCGCCGAAAGCUUCUUCAUCUCUUCAAUGGCGAUUUGUUCUUCCUCUUCACACUUACAUCGUCUCUAUUCUAUACUUUUGCUUAGUUGUUCAUAUGCAUGUAAACUGUCUAGCAAUUCUGAACAGAAUUUUCCAUGUCUGCAUCUGCGAAAAACUCUAGAGCAAUAUCUUAUGCUCGUGUUUUGGUCCAAGUCUUGGUGAAAACGUGUCCGCGGAAAAUCUCCUCAAGACAGUGCAAGGGAUCUUCUUAGCUGUUCAUAUGCGGUACUUGACAAGACAAACUCUAUUGACUCAACAGUUCUAGAAGAAGUUAUGUUUCAGAGUGAGGUGAAGAAGCUAUAACAGGAGCAGUUCAGGCCAGCAGAGCAAGUUUCACUUUCAUCACAAGAGAUGCUGCAAUACAUCGUCUUGGAGUGAAACAUGAUCUUACAUGAGCGAUCUCAUGACCAGCAAGACCUCUAAAUCAGCUUUGCCUUCCAUUUGCAAAUUUUUAUUUGGAAAAUUAAAAUAAAAAUUAAAAGCAUCCAUAGAAAAACAAAACCUGUAGUUUUUGUCUUCCUCCUUUCUGUUCUCGGACACAGAUCUCAUUGAAUUGGAGUUUUGUUCUUCCUCUA